rnacentral:rRNA from 1 species
GACGAACGCUGGCGGCGUGCUUACCACAUGCAAGUCGAACGGAAAGGCCCUGCUUUUGUGGGGUGCUCGAGUGGCGAACGGGUGAGUAACACGUGAGUAACCUGCCCUUGACUUUGGGAUAACUUCAGGAAACUGGGGCUAAUACCGGAUAGGAGCUCCUGCUGCAUGGUGGGGGUUGGAAAGUUUCGGCGGUUGGGGAUGGACUCGCGGCUUAUCAGCUUGUUGGUGGGGUAGUGGCUUACCAAGGCUUUGACGGGUAGCCGGCCUGAGAGGGUGACCGGCCACAUUGGGACUGAGAUACGGCCCAGACUCCUACGGGAGGCAGCAGUGGGGAAUAUUGCACAAUGGGCGGAAGCCUGAUGCAGCAACGCCGCGUGCGGGAUGACGGCCUUCGGGUUGUAAACCGCUUUCGCCUGUGACGAAGCGUGAGUGACGGUAAUGGGUAAAGAAGCACCGGCUAACUACGUGCCAGCAGCCGCGGUGAUACGUAGGGUGCGAGCGUUGUCCGGAUUUAUUGGGCGUAAAGGGCUCGUAGGUGGUUGAUCGCGUCGGAAGUGUAAUCUUGGGGCUUAACCCUGAGCGUGCUUUCGAUACGGGUUGACUUGAGGAAGGUAGGGGAGAAUGGAAUUCCUGGUGGAGCGGUGGAAUGCGCAGAUAUCAGGAGGAACACCAGUGGCGAAGGCGGUUCUCUGGGCCUUUCCUGACGCUGAGGAGCGAAAGCGUGGGGAGCGAACAGGCUUAGAUACCCUGGUAGUCCACGCUGUAAACGGUGGGUACUAGGUGUGGGGUCCAUUCCACGGGUUCCGUGCCGUAGCUAACGCUUUAAGUACCCCGCCUGGGGAGUACGGCCGCAAGGCUAAAACUCAAAGGAAUUGACGGGGCCCCGCACAAGCGGCGGAGCAUGCGGAUUAAUUCGAUGCAACGCGUAGAACCUUACCUGGGUUUGACAUGGAUCGGGAGUGCUCAGAGAUGGGUGUGCCUCUUUUGGGGUCGGUUCACAGGUGGUGCAUGGCUGUCGUCAGCUCGUGUCGUGAGAUGUUGGGUUAAGUCCCGCAACGAGCGCAACCCUUGUUCACUGUUGCCAGCACGUUAUGGUGGGGACUCAGUGGAGACCGCCGGGGUCAACUCGGAGGAAGGUGGGGAUGACGUCAAGUCAUCAUGCCCCUUAUGUCCAGGGCUUCACGCAUGCUACAAUGGCUGGUACAGAGAGUGGCGAGCCUGUGAGGGUGAGCGAAUCUCGGAAAGCCGGUCUCAGUUCGGAUUGGGGUCUGCAACUCGACCUCAUGAAGUCGGGGUCGCUAGUAAUCGCAGAUCAGCAACGCUGCGGUGAAUACGUUCCCGGG